GAUGAAGAACGCAGCGAAAUGCGAUAAGUAGUGUGAAUUGCAGAAUUCAGUGAAUCAUCGAAUCUUUGAACGCACCUUGCGCCCUUUGGCUAUUCCGAAGGGCAUGCCUGUUUGAGUAUCAUGAACACCUCAACUCUCAUGGUUUUUCCAUGAUGGGCUUGGACUUUGGGGGUCUUGCUGGCCUAUGGUCAGCUCCUCUUAAACGAAUCAGCUUGCCAGUGUUGGUGUGGCAUGACAGGUGUGAUAACUAUCUACGCUUGUGGUUUUCCAUCAAGUAACCUUCAGUGAUGGAGGUUCGCUGGGGCUCAUAAAGGCCUCUCCUCGGUGAGGAUGGCUCCUUUGAACGUUUGAUCUCAAAUCAGGUAGGACUACCCGCUGAACUUAAGCAUAUCAUAAGCGGAGGA
rnacentral:misc_RNA from 1 species